AGUGAACGCUGGCGGUAGGCCUAACACAUGCAAGUCGAACGGCCGCACAGUAAGAGCUUGCUCUUACAGGUGGCGAGUGGCGGACGGGUGAGGAAUACAUCGGAAUCUACUUUUUCGUGGGGGAUAACGUAGGGAAACUUACGCUAAUACCGCAUACGACCUACGGGUGAAAGCAGGGGAUCUUCGGACCUUGCGCGAUUGAAUGAGCCGAUGUCGGAUUAGCUAGUUGGCGGGGUAAAGGCCCACCAAGGCGACGAUCCGUAGCUGGUCUGAGAGGAUGAUCAGCCACACUGGAACUGAGACACGGUCCAGACUCCUACGGGAGGCAGCAGUGGGGAAUAUUGGACAAUGGGCGCAAGCCUGAUCCAGCCAUACCGCAUGGGUGAAGAAGGCCUUCGGGUUGUAAAGCCCUUUUGUUGGGAAAGAAAAGCAGCAGGUUAAUACCCCGCUGUUCUGACGGUACCCGAAGAAUAAGCACCGGCUAACUUCGUG
rnacentral:rRNA from 1 species